GUCGAACGAGAGCGAUGGGUUUCGGCCCGUCAAUCUAGUGGCGGACGACUGAGUAACGCGUAAGCAACCUUCCCGUGGGUGGGGGACAACUCCGAGAAAUCGGGGCUAAUACCGCAUAAGAUCCUUGGCACAUAAGUGACAGGGAGGAAAGCCUUUCGAGGCGCCGCAGGAGGAGUCCGCGGCCGAUUAGCUUGUUGGCGGGGUAAUGGCCCACCAAGGCGGCGAUCGGUAGCCGGCCUGAGAGGGUGUACGGCCACACUGGCACUGAGACACGGGCCAGACUCCUACGGGAGGCAGCAGUGGGGAAUCUUGGACAAUGGGGGAAACCCUGAUCCAGCGACGCCGCGUGACUGAUGAAGCCCCUCGGGGUGUAAAAGUCUUUCGGUGGGGACAAUCAUGAUGGUACCCGCAGAAGCAGCUGCGGCUAACUACGUGCCAGCAGCCGCGGUAAUACGUAGGCAGCAAGCGUUGUUCGGAAUUACUGGGCGUAAAGCGAGUGUAGGCGGUCUGCCAAGUCCGUUGUGAAAUCUCCCGGCUCAACUGGGAGCCUGCAACGGAAACUGGCAGGCUAGAGUGCGGAAGAGGAGAGUGGAAUUCCUGGUGUAGCGGUGAAAUGCGUAGAUAUCAGGAGGAACACCGGCGGUGAAGACGGCUCUCUGGUCCGCCACUGACGCUGAGACUCGAAAGCGUGGGUAGCAAACAGGAUUAGAUACCCUGGUAGUCCACGCCCUUAAACGAUGCAUACUUGGUGUGGGCUCUUCACUGAGUCCGUGUCGGAGUUAACGCGUUAAGUAUGCCGCCU
rnacentral:rRNA from 1 species